AGAUAUAUGAAAAAAAAAUUAAAUAAAUUAUUAUAUUCUUUUACCGACCGUCUCUAGAGCAAGUGGCAAAGGAUUUAAUGGUUGGUACCUGAGACUUAAUUAAGUUCGAAUCCUAGUUGAUUCAUAUUUCCAGCUAAGUUUAUUUCUAAAUGAAAUAAACGAAGCGGGUAGCGUGCUACCUAUCUCUAAAAAAAAAAACUAUUAUAUUCUUUUUAUCUUUUUUUCUUACUAAAAAAUUUCUAAAAUAAAAUCGUGUUUAUCUUCAAAUCGUGUUUAUCCCAUCUAACGCUCAAUUAUUGAUUGAAAGGGUUCAAAAUCAAUAAUUUUUAAUGAUUGAUAUAUGUCGUUUUCAAGUUUAACGGUAUAGAAGUAUUCAAAUCAGAUGAAAUUUUGGUACAAAAUUUUUUAUACUAUCUACAACAAGAUCAAUAUUUCUGAUCGAAAAUUUUAGUACUAUUUCACCACGUUUUAUAAGAUUUUUAUUUUCAGCCGUUAAAAAUUAUUGAUUUUGAAUCCUUUUGAUUGCUAGAUAAAUGAUAUCGAAAAAUCGCAAAAAUUAUUUUCUAGAAACUUCAAAUACGCUAGAUCAAGUCUAACAGAGCUGAUCGUCGAUUCGGAAAUUCCAUCAUCGAAAACGGCUCCUGAGAGCAUAGCAGUCCCGCUCUCUCUCUCUCUCUCUCUCUAUAUAUAUAUAUAUAAAGAGAGAGAGAGAGAGGCUCCUAUCUUUUCGAAAUUACGGAAACUUUCGUACUUGUAAGUUAUUUCCGAUGAUGGGGCAUCUGAUUCGGUGAUCGAGUAUAUUAAGACAUGAUCUACGUUAUUAGAACUAUUUAGAAACUAAAUUUCAUAAUUUUUUGAUUUCAUUAGCAUAGUAAAUAAGUAGCCUCAAAAUGAACGGCUGAAAAUAAAAAUCUCAUAAAAACUAGCGAUAAAUGACUCAAAUUUCAAAUCGGAAGUAUUGAUCUUGCUAUUUAUGUUAAGUAAAAUUUUUUAUUAAAAUUUCAUGUAAUUUGCAUUGUUCUACACCGUUGAAUUUAAAAACAUCAACAUUGACUAUUAAAAUUGUCAUUUUCAAGAUCUUUUGAUCACUAGGUAAUGAUAUCGAUAUAAAAUUUGGUGUUUAGAUAGUUCCAAUAGCGUAGAUUAUGUAUAACAGAGCCGAUCAUCGAAUCGGAUGCGUUAUUAUCGAAACAACUUACAAGCAUGGAGGCCUCAAUACUUUCGAAAGUACAAAAGACGUACUAUAUAUAUAGAAAGAGAGCGAGAGAGAGAGAGAGAGAGAGAGAGAGAGAGAGAGAGCAGAACUGCUGUGCUCUUAGGAGCACGGAGGCCUCCGUGCUCCUGAACCAUUUUCGAUGAUGGAAUUUCCGAAUCGACAAUCAGCUUCAUUAGAUUUGAUCUAGUGUAUUUGAAGUUUUUAGAAAAUAAUUUUCGUGAUUUAUCCCAUCUACCGCUCAAUUAUUAAUUGAAAGGGUUCAAAAUCAAUAAUUUUUAAUGGUUGAUAUCUGUCGUUUUCAAGUUUAACGGUAUAGAAGUAUUCAAAUCUGAUAAAAUUUUGGUACAAAAUUUUUUAUACUAUCUACAACAAGAUCAAUAUUUCUUAAAAUCAGCUAAUCAAUAUUUCUUAAAAUGGUAAAAAGAUAAAGAAUAUAAUAGUUUAUCCCAUCUACCGCUCAAUUAUUGAUUGAAAGGGUUCAAAAUCAAUAAUUUUUAAUGGUUGAUAUCUGUUGUUUUCAAGUUUAAUGGUGUAGAAGAAUUCAAAUCAGAUGAAAUUUUGGUACAAAACUUUUUAUACUAUCUACAACAAGAUCAAUAUUUCUGAUCGAAAAUUUUAGUGCUAUAUCACCACGUUUUAUAAGAUUUUUAUUUUCAGCCGUUAAAAAUUAUUGAUUUUGAAUCCUUUUGAUUGCUAGAUAAAUGAUAUCGAAAAAUCGCAAAAAUUAUUUUCUAGAAACUUCAAAUAUGCUAGAUCAAGUCUAACGG
rnacentral:lncRNA from 1 species